rnacentral:rRNA from 1 species
GAUGAACGCUGGCGGCGUGCCUAAUACAUGCAAGUCGAGCGAACAGACGAGGAGCUUGCUCCUCUGACGUUAGCGGCGGACGGGUGAGUAACACGUGGAUAACCUACCUAUAAGACUGGGAUAACUUCGGGAAACCGGAGCUAAUACCGGAUAAUAUAUUGAACCGCAUGGUUCAAUAGUGAAAGACGGUUUUGCUGUCACUUAUAGAUGGAUCCGCGACGCAUUAGCUAGUUGGUAAGGUAACGGCUUACCAAGGCAACGAUGCGUAGCCGACCUGAGAGGGUGAUCGGCCACACUGGAACUGAGACACGGUCCAGACUCCUACGGGAGGCAGCAGUAGGGAAUCUUCCGCAAUGGGCGAAAGCUUGACGGAGCAACGCCGCGUGAGUGAUGAAGGUCUUCGGAUCGUAAAACUCUGUUAUUAGGGAAGAACAAAUGUGUAAGUAACUAUGCACGUCUUGACGGUACCUAAUCAGAAAGCCACGGCUAACUACGUG